GGAAUAGAUUGAAGAUUACAGAUCUUAUCUCCCUAGGCAUUAGUGGAGUAGAUCGAAGAUGGCAGAUUUUACCUCCCUGAGGUUACAGUGGAGUACAUUGAAGCUAGUAAUUCUAUCUCCCUGGGCAGCAGUGGAAUAGAUUGAAGAUUACAGAUCUUAUCUCCCUAGGCAUUAGUGGAGUAGAUCGAAGAUGGCAGAUUUUACCUCCCU
rnacentral:lncRNA from 1 species